UGCGGGGUGGAGCAGUCCGGUAGCUCGUCGGGCUCAUAACCCGAAGNNGGUUCAAAUCCUGUCCCCGCUACCA
rnacentral:tRNA from 1 species